rnacentral:tRNA from 3 species
AAAUAAGAAGCAAAUAUUGCAUUUAAUUUCGACUUAAAAAUAUGAGAAUAAAUUUCUCCUUAUUUA